UACGGGGGGAGCAAGCGUUGUUUGGAUUUACUGGGCGUAAAGGGCGCGUAGGCGGUCAGCACAAGUCAGUUGUGAAAUCUCCGGGCUUAACUCGGAAAGGUCAACUGAUACUGUGCGACUAGAGUGCGGAAGGGGCAACUGGAAUUCUCGGUGUAGCGGUGAAAUGCGUAGAUAUCGAGAGGAACACCUGAGGCGAAGGCGGGCUACUGGGCCGAUACUGACGCUGAGGCGCGAAAGCCAGGGGAGCAAACGGG
rnacentral:rRNA from 1 species